rnacentral:rRNA from 1 species
AGAGCGGAUUAGCGGCGGACGGGUGAGUAACACGUGAGUAACCUGCCUUAGACAUUGGGAUAGCCUCGGGAAACCGGGAUUAAUACCAAAUAAAAUCAUAAUGACACAUGUCAUAACGAUCAAAACUCCGGUGGUCUAAGAUGGACUCGCGUCCCAUUAACUAGUUGGUAGAGUAAAAGCCUACCAAGGCGACGAUGGGUAGCCGGCCUGAGAGGGUGAACGGCCACAUUGGAACUGAGAAACGGUCCAA